AAUUUCUUGUCUUCCACCUCCACUCUUCCUUUCCGAAACCCUAGUCGCAGGGUUUUGCACAAUACAAAAUCUCAGCCAUUUUCCCUCAUUUUCUCGGCACCACCGCAAAGAUGGUGAAGAAGACGGGGAGGAAGGUCAACAUUGCGAUCUAAAAAUGUUUGCAGAGUUGCUCCUAUCCCAGGGGAGACUAAAGUGUGGCAGUAUAUAACACUCACAAAGAGGAUUUUCUUGAUUGAUUGCCCUGGAGUUGUCUAUCAAAGCGGUGAUUCCCAAACAGAUAUUGUACUGAAGGGCGUGGUACGUGCCACAAAUUUGCAGGAUGCUACAGAACACAUAGGAGAAGUUUUGAAACGAGUUAAGAGGAUCCACCUGAAAAGAGCAUAUAAGAUAGAGAACUGGGAGGAUGAUAAUGACUUCCUGUGUCAGCUUUGCAAAUUGUCAGGCAAACUUUUGAAGCAAAGAUGGUCCUCCACGACUGGCAGAGGGGUGAGAUACCAUUUUUUGUGCCGCCACCAAAAAGAGAAUCGCCAACGGGGGAGCCUGAUAUAAAUCACAAUAAAGAAGACACUGGAAGAUAACAAUCAGGCUGCAGCUUAUCGAGCCAUUGGAGAUAUUAUUGCAUCUCAGAAGGUGAGCACUAUCCCCGUGCAAAGGGAUCUUUUCAGUGAAGAAGAAUUAAAGGGCGAUGAAGGACCGAAACAGCUCCCAGCCGCUGAAGUAUCUGAGAAGUCUUCAGAGUCGGACGAUGAAGUAUCUGACCACAGUGACUCCGAGGAUGACGCGGCUGAACGGUCUGAGGAUUCUGAAGACAACUGAGCUCCCAACACAUAUUUGUGUCACGGAAGGUGUUUUUGUAGUCCAUAAAUGUUAUUUUAUCUUUUCAGAUGAACCUCAUCUCGAAAACAAGUACGAGUAAUUUAUUUUGUUUGGGUUUUUUUUUCAAUUGUAAAAUCUUUUAUGAAGUGGUAUUAAAAUUAAUGUUUGUUUUGUGUUUUGCUCA